UACGAAGGGUGCAAGCGUUGUUCGGAAUUACUGGGCGUAAAGGGCGCGUAGGCGGGUUUGUAAGUCGAUUGUGAAAUCCCUGGGCUUAACCCGGGAACUGCAGUCGAUACUGCAAAUCUUGAAUACCUGAGAGGAUGGCGGAAUUCCCGGUGUAGUAGUGAAAUACGUAGAUAUCGGGAAGAACACCUGAGGCGAAGGCGGCUAUCUGGCAGUGUAUUGACGCUGAGGCGCGAAAGCGUGGGGAGCAAACAGG
rnacentral:rRNA from 1 species